rnacentral:rRNA from 1 species
UACGGGGGGAGCAAGCGUUGUUCGGAUUUACUGGGCGUAAAGGGCGCGUAGGCGGCCACCGCAAGUCGACUGUGAAAUCUCCGGGCUUAACCCGGAAAGGUCAGCCGAUACUGCGGGGCUAGAGUGCAGAAGGGGCAACUGGAAUUCUCGGUGUAGCGGUGAAAUGCGUAGAUAUCGAGAGGAACACCUGCGGCGAAGGCGGGUUGUUGGGCUGACACUGACGCUGAGGCGCGAAAGCUAGGGGAGCGAACGGG